AUGGAAGAAAUUAUUCAGAGAAUUGAAAAUGUCCUAGAUGCAAACUGCAGCAGAGACGUAAAACAGAUGCUCUUGAAGCUUGUUGAACUCUGGUCGACUAACUGGGUUAGAGUCCAUGCAACCUCAACAUACAGAGAAGCAACACCUGAAAAUGAUCCUAACUACUUUAUGAAUGAACCAACAUUUUAUACAUCUGAUGGUGUUCCUUUCACUGCAGCUGAUCCAGAUACUUGGAUGAUAUUGAUGAUGAGAUGGACCCAGAGAUUGAAGAAGCUUAUGAAAAGUUUUAUUUGGAAUGAGAACAUAAACGAAAACAGUAAAGUUAAAUUUCAGCACAUCAGUUUUAUAAAACAAUUUACGUAUGAUGAUUUAGCAGAACACAGGAAAGCAAGAACACAUGUCAUACGUAUACCAAAUUAAGGAUGCUGAGUUAUGUUACUAAUGUAUGCAACUUUAAUUUUAACACUAUCUGCCAAAAUAAACUUUAUUCCCUGUAACUUAAAAAAAAAGAGAGAGCAGCUGUCCUUUGUUCAGACCAUUUCACCUUCCCUUUAUGCACCCAAAGUUUGCUGUUUAUUUUGUAGGUUUGAGAAAAGUGAUUGUAGCACAGGGCUUGUUUUGAUCUUUGUUCCUAUUCCCUCAGUGUAGGGUGAUUGGUAAACAUUUCAGAAGCCAGUGGCUGCUGGGCUCUAUUUUAGCUGUCUGAGAACCAUAGAAUUAUAGAGUUUUUUUGUUUUUUUGUUUGAUUGAUUGGUACAGGAUUGUAGUGCAUGAUUACAUUCAUCAUGGAGAGGUGGCACAUAUACAUACAUAGUUUUUCAACUUUUUUUGCAAACUUAUUAGUGUAGGGCCAGGACGCCCUGUAGGUAGGGAAAAGACAGGAUGAAGGCCUCAUUGAGCUUUAUUAAAAAUUAGUAAGUGGACCGGGAUUUAGCUCAGUGGUUCUGUUGCCUGCCUUGCAAGCACAAGGACCCGAGUUUGAUCCCUGGUACAAAAAAUAAAAAAAUAAAUUAAUAGGCAGUUUAGGCCUAGGUAGCCAGACUGGAGCAAUUAGAAAGACAAAAGCUCUGGGAAUGUCCCAGGUAGCGAUUAACAUAAGAAUUGCACACUUCCCCUUUACUUAAUCCUUAACAGUAAACUACCUGUCCAACACACACACACACACACACACACACGCGCGCGUGCGCGCUCAAGGACCGAGAAUAGCCUGGCCUGCAGAAUCCAAGGUCAAGGUGAAGGACAGGCCGGGGAGCGGGUCGGACUCCAGGAGCCCAGCCGGGAAGGAGCCCCGGAAAAGGAGCUGGAGACCGCUUCCCAAGCACCCCC
rnacentral:lncRNA from 1 species